rnacentral:rRNA from 27 species
GUUGACCUCGGAUCAGGUAGGAAUACCCGCUGAACUUAAGCAU